UUCAGCAUUCUUGAAGAUCCUUAUUGGGGUGUUGUCAACCAAAAAUCUGCAAUUAGUUACAUGAACUUGUUAGCGUGUUUGUUAUAAGCACAUAAUUGAGUUCUUUAUACAAACACGAACUUAAAUAUAUAUUACUUACAUAAUGUGUUGUGGCUUCCAGAUGAUAGAGUAAGUGUGGAAGUUCUUGGUUGGGUCGAACCAGAGGUAGAAUUGUUGUUCUCUGUUUCCUUUGCCUUGAGAAAACACGUUUGUGUGGAGAAUGUAAGGAUCGCCACUAACAUUUCCUAAGAACUCAAAAUCAAUUUCAUCAUGAGUCGGUCCCUGUGAUGACAACUGCACCAUAUAUCAUCGUUAUUUACUUGCAGCACCACAAUACACAAGAAGCAAAACAGAAACAGAACAAAAAUAUUCUCAUAAAAGCUUUUGAUAUCGUGUUGAAGCUAUUUUAAUUAAAGUUGCUUUCGGAAUAGAAAGAAUAUAUGAUAUGCUAAAUGAGGAAGUAAAGAAAGGAAUAAAAAAUGAAGUACAUACAUAGUAAGCAGUAACAGUUCCAGCAGAAUUUCCAGCAACAAGUUUAAGUUGCAUAUCAAUUCUACCAAAUAAAUACUCUUUCUUGGAUUGGAAGCCAGAGCCAGAAGUUUUAUCAAGAGAAAGAGAUAGAAGUUGACCACCAUUGAAUAUCUUAGCACGGUGGUCACCCCAAGUUAGAUCAAAGUCUUGGUUGAAGUUAGCAGAACAUGUAGCUACCAAGGAGCUAAUUAUCAUGACUCCAAUCAGCAUACUGUUAAUGCCAAUAGAAUAAGCCAUAUUAAUUAAUUUGCACAGAGAAAUGUGUGUGUGUGUGUGAGAGAGAAAUAUUAAUGUAAUUGUUGUGAUGUGUGAAGGAUGUGUUAGAAUUAGAAAAGAGGGUCUAUAUAUGUGUGUUAGGGACUUGGGGUGAGAAAUUAGAAUGGGAAUAUGUUGUGGAUUGUAGUGUAAGGUGGUGAGACGCGUGAAUGGAGUCUGGUAUACCCCAAAAGUUGGUGCCAGCUUUGCAAGUUUUUGAAAGCUGGAUGCUUUUGUUUGAUCAUAGUUUUUAAAUUAUGCUUGCUUGAUUUUGUUUUGGGAUUUUCCAACGAACCAACGUUAUGAAUUGCAUGAGUCAAUAAUUAUCAUAGCGACCUAAUUAUGUUACGUAUGUGUAGGCGCCCACACGUUUUGAUAUGGUUUGGGCCAAAAACUUGGAAAUGAAAUUAGGUGCUGGAUGGCAACCGAGGUGAAUGAGAUGAAGGAACUGAUCUAGCUAGUGAUAAAACAACGAAAAUUGAUGUUUACACUGUAAACAAGUUAAGAAACACCAUGAAACGAUAAAUUUAACCUCAAUUUCUAUCAGCAGUUAACUACCAUCCGUUAAAAACCAUCGACAGUUAACUGCUGAUAAAUUCGUGGUUUUUCCUAGAAUCCUUUGAUGUGGGAACAUCAUUUUUCUAAAUCAACUCCUUUACGAUAUGUUAGCAAGUUGCGGGGUCAUUUUGAGUCCUUAAGGCAGGGUCACAUUAGGGAGGGGUGAAAAAAGUGAAAAUCAAUUUGUGUGAACAUCAAUUCUUUUACUAAAAGCUACUUCCUCCGUCUCAAUUUAAAUGAAUCUUUUGCUCAUUUCACACUUAUAAAGAAAAGACCAUUACUUUUUUCGCUCUGCUAUUCUCACACACCCUGCAAAAAAGACCAAAAUAUUCUUGAUUUGGAUUAUAUAAUCUGAGCUGAUUGUUAACAUUUUUUGGAUUAUAAAAUCCGAAAUUAUUUCGAACUGUGAUUUCAGUGUUGUAUUUGAUGUUAGAGGUCUCUACUGACCAUCGUAGUAUCCCCGUACUAGCUAGAGUGUUGAGAUCUAAAUGACCUAUAUCCUAUCAUAUUUUUCUUCUCUUUUUUUUUUUGGCUUAAUUUCAGUUUUGGUACCCCUAUUUUCUUCAUUUUGUGAAAUUGGUCCCCCCUAUUUUAAAAUUCGACAAUUUUGGUCGCUCUAUCAAAUAUUUUGUCUAAAAUAUUGUGAUAUGAUAUGUUUUAAAUAAAGUUUUCAAGAGAAUUUUGUUACAAUUUCAUUGAUGUUGAUUUUUUUCCAUCUUCAUAUCAUAUUCCACAACAUUUAAAAUUUAUCACGUCACUUUUUUAUUGUUCAAAAAUAUGAUGGAAUGACCAAAAGUGUCGAAUUUUAAAAUAGGGGGACCAAUUAUGCAAAAUGGUGAAAAUAGGGGGACCAAAACUGCAAUUAAACCUUUUUUCUGGACCAAUUUUUUUUUUUUACCUAUUUCUUUUUUAGCCCACACUUUUCGCAAACAUAACGUUUCCACUUUCCCUUUUCUACACAUUUUCAAAAACAAAAGAGAACACAGACAUAUCGUUCCUUUUUGACGCCGGCAAGGGCAUUCCGAUGACAACAAAGUCAACAUUUUCUUAUUUCACAUUCAAAACGAAAAGGUCAGCGUUUUCAAAAUGAAAAAUAGAGCUUCAACAUAUUAACAUAUAUAUGUCAUAUUAAUUUUAGUUAAACUCGUACGAGUUCACCCAAAUAAAAUGAAUUGAGGUAAAGUUCCAAGUUGAAAAACCUUGCUAACGAUAAUUUUCUUAAAAUCAUCAAGAUGACAAAAAGACAGUUCCUACUGAUGAAGUCCUAGUUCCUACUGGUUGAAGCAUGUGGAACUAGUGAAAGAGGAAGAAACCAUUAAUUUAGGUCCUAAUAAACUAUCUCCCCCUCUUCAAUUUAAUCCCUAAACUACAAAAAUAUACUAGAUAGUCCCUAAACUAUACAAAAUUCAUCAAUUUAGUAGUUUAGUUCCUAAAUUAAACUCUCUCUUCAAUUUAGUCCAUAAACUAUAAAAAUAUACUAAAUUAGUCCUUGAACUAUACAAACCAGUUACGUUACCCAAUCUUCCUUAAUAAUUGAUUCAAGGUUUAUCUCAAAAGAGUAUCAUUGUUAUUGUGAUACGACAAAGGACAGUGGCAAAAGCCCCCUCAAUGAGGGUAAUGUAUUUGUAAAUACUCAAAACAUUCGAGUAAAUGAAAAAAAGGAAGUGAGCUCUCAAGAAGAAUGGGAAAGAUAAAAAUCAAGUGAUUUUUCCGGUAGAAGUAGAUCACCGUGUGAUUUUGACUGCACACUUAAAAAAAAUAGUGAGUUUUGAUUUUUCUAAUAGAACUUUAUGAAUAACCACGUAAUAAUUAUUAUAUUUUAUACAAAAAUACAAUUUCUUUUUAUAUUUUAUAUAUUACUCACUUGUAGUACUCUUAAGCAAGUCAAUCUACAAUAUAUGAAAAAUACUCCCUCCAAUCCGGACUAUAAGAGAAGAAUCUAUUUUUAGGUUCAUUGAAUAAUUAAUAUAUUUAGACUACAGUGUAGAGUAAAUACAUCAUUUAUUUAAUGAACUUAAAAAAAAAAAAAAUCUUCUCUUAUAUUAAGGACCGUAGCGAGUAAUAAACUAUAAGUUAGUCGAUAGCACAAUUAAGGCUUAAUUAUGUGCAUUAAGAGAAAUUUUCGCCAUAGUAAUUUUUGUAAUAAACAUUGAGAUGAAUUUUCAUCAUUUUCAAAUUACAAGUUCAUUGGUGUAUUCCGCGACAAGUAAAGUUUAUUGACAAGCAAAGUAUUAGGGAUUCAUAGUAACAAAGUAAUGAAGGUUGAGUUCUAUAUGCGUCAUAUGUUUCAAUUUAGUCCUCAUUAGAUACGAAUAUAGUAUAUAUAGUGUUCUCAACGUAUAGAUUGAAAAGUGAUAAGGAAGUGGUACAAAGAAUUUGAUUUAUUUGAUCAUGUGCUAUCUAAAAUAGACACCAAAAAAAUAUAGAGGAAUAUAUAAAAUCAAAGAAUCAUAACAAAUUAAAAUAAGAUGGCUAUUAUAUGUUCUUCAUCAUUGAUCUCUCAUCAGAACCUUGGACGCUUACACUCAGCAGGAAUACCUUCUGGGAAUCGCUUAAGAUCGUUGCAGUAAUUAUAGAUCAUAAAGUAUUUCUGAACCCAUCUCAAUCUUCUUCUACCAUAAGCAUCAAGCUCAUUGCUUUGCAAUGCAGAAUCAGAGAAGGAAGUGGAAGAGACAGAAGAUAACUCAGUAGCUUUGAAAUUGCGGUAGUAAGCUGUAAAGGGUGCUUUGGACCAAUCAGUUUUCACCAAACCACCUCUUGUAGCCCAAUCAUCAGCAUUCCAGAGACUUGAAUAGAUUCUCAUUGGUUGGUUCUUUGGGAAUGGAAUACCAAUUGAUUCAGCAUUCUUGAAGAUCCUUAUUGGGGUGUUGUCAACCAAAAAUCUGCAAUUAGUUACAUGAACUUGUUAGCGUGUUUGUUAUAAGCACAUAAUUGAGUUCUUUAUACAAACACGAACUUAAAUAUAUAUUACUUACAUAAUGUGUUGUGGCUUCCAGAUGAUAGAGUAAGUGUGGAAGUUCUUGGUUGGGUCGAACCAGAGGUAGAAUUGUUGUUCUCUGUUUCCUUUGCCUUGAGAAAACACGUUUGUGUGGAGAAUGUAAGGAUCGCCACUAACAUUUCCUAAGAACUCAAAAUCAAUUUCAUCAUGAGUCGGUCCCUGUGAUGACAACUGCACCAUAUAUCAUCGUUAUUUACUUGCAGCACCACAAUACACAAGAAGCAAAACAGAAACAGAACAAAAAUAUUCUCAUAUAAAAGCUUUUGAUAUCGUGUUGAAGCUAUUUUAAUUAAAGUUGCUUUUGGAAUAGAAAGAAUAUAUGAUAUGCUAAAUGAGGAAGUAAAGAAAGGAAUAAAAAAUGAAGUACGUACGUAG
rnacentral:lncRNA from 1 species